rnacentral:rRNA from 1 species
CCUACGAGAGGCAGCAGUGGGGGAUAUUGCACAAUGGGGGAAACCCUGAUGCAGCGACGCCGCGUGAGCGAUGAAGUAUUUCGGUAUGUAAAGCUCUAUCAGCAGGGAAGAAAAUGACGGUACCUGACUAAGAAGCCCCGGCUAACUACGUGCCAGCAGCCGCGGUCAUACGUAGGGGGCAAGCGUUAUCCGGAUUUACUGGGUGUAAAGGGAGCGUAGACGGCAGUGCAAGUCUGGAGUGAAAGGCAAGGGGUCAACCCUUGGACUGCCUUGGAAACUGUGGUGCGUGAGUGUCGGAGAGGCAAGUGGAAUUCCUGGUGUAGCGGUGAAAUGCGUAGAUAUUAGGAGGAACACCAGUGGCGAAGGCGGCUUGCUGGACGAUGACUGACGUUGAGGCUCGAAAGCGUGGGGAGCAAACAGGAUUAGAUACCCCAGUAGUC